rnacentral:rRNA from 1 species
UACGGAAGGCAGCAGUGGGGAAUAUUGCACAAUGGGCGCAAGCCUGAUGCAGCCAUGCCGCGUGUAUGAAGAAGGCCUUCGGGUUGUAAAGUACUUUCAGUCGUGAGGAAGGUGUUAAGGUUAAUAACCUUAGCAAUUGACGUUAGCGACAGAAGAAGCACCGGCUAACUCCGUGCCAGCAGCCGCGGUAAUACGGAGGGUGCGAGCGUUAAUCGGAAUUACUGGGCGUAAAGGGCACGCAGGCGGUUAAUUAAGUUGGAUGUGAAUCCCCGGGCUUAACCUGGGAAUGGCAUUCAAGACUGGUUAGCUAGAGUCUUGUAGAGGGGGUAGAAUUCCAUGUGUAGCGGUGAAAUGCGUAGAGAUGUGGAGGAAUACCGGUGGCGAAGGCGGCCCCUGGGACAAAGACUGACGCUCGAUGUGCGAAAGCGUGGGGAGCAAACAGGAUUAGAUACC